AAAGAACUAACCGUCUGAGAAUUCUGUGUAAGAAGCGGGUAGCUUCUUGGUUGUAAUAGUGAACACAAGGGAGGGUACAUCUACUUGGUUGUUAAAAGAGAACAAGGAAGGGUGCAUCCUUUGUGGCUCUUUACUUGUAAAGGUUUUUACAAGGUUAUUAGAAAUCUCAAGAACCGUGAGUUGCUUGGGGACUGGAUGUAGGCACGGGUCAUUACCGAACCUGUAUAAAUCUUGUGUUUGC
rnacentral:lncRNA from 1 species